CCUACGGGGUGCAGCAGUGGGGAAUAUUGGACAAUGGGCGAAAGCCUGAUCCAGCCAUGCCGCGUGUGUGAAGAAGGCCUUCGGGUUGUAAAGCACUUUCAGUGGGGAAGAAAGCCUUGGGGCUAAUACCCUCGAGGAAGGACAUCACCCACAGAAGAAGCACCGGCUAACUCCGUGCCAGCAGCCGCGGUAAUACGGAGGGUGCGAGCGUUAAUCGGAAUUACUGGGCGUAAAGCGCGCGUAGGCGGUCUGAUAAGCCGGUUGUGAAAGCCCCGGGCUCAACCUGGGAACGGCAUCCGGAACUGUCAGGCUAGAGUGCAGGAGAGGAAGGUAGAAUUCCCGGUGUAGCGGUGAAAUGCGUAGAGAUCGGGAGGAAUAUCAGUGGCGAAGGCGGCCUUCUGGACUGACACUGACGCUGAGGUGCGAAAGCGUGGGUAGCAAACAGGAUUAGAUACCCGGGUAGUC
rnacentral:rRNA from 1 species